GCAGAAAUCGAGACGACUAAUCGAGACGGCUUCCCUGCAGUGUGCACGCACAAGGUGUUUUACGCGUGCUGUAACGCGCGUUAAUGCCUGCGUACGUAGAAAGUAAAGGUCAACCGCGUCGAUUCGGCAUCUUGACUCGCGUCGUGUCGCGGCGGUGAAUCGGAGUGAAGUUGUCGACGCUGACGUCGUCCGCUGUCGACGCUCUUUCCCGCUGAUGGAACGCCACGGAGACGCAGCGCAGCGAAGCGCUCUCAAACCGGGUUCAAUCGGGAAUUACGGUUUGCGCAAUUGGUCCUCUAUUUGUUGCGUUUCGGGAAUAAGCGCGCGCGCGUGAGCUCGCGGGUGAGAAUCAUGGAGGAGCAGCGCUGCGAAGGAUUCCGAGAGAAGGAACAGCAGAGGCUUGCUCGGCGUCGGGCAACGCGACCGGGGAGAGGGGUUUUGAGAUUUGUUGUACACUGAAGAAGACCAUUAAUUAAAGGUUGAAACGUCGAAAGAUCUGAAGUCACAUACGGCUGUUACUGUUGCUGUAACAUGAUUUCGAAUCUUGAGAUUCUUUAGUCGAAUUCUGGCGAUUACAAUAUUCAGUACUUUAAUACAACAAUUAAAAAAUGUAUUA